UUAAAUUGAAGAGUUUGAUCAUGGCUCAGAUUGAACGCUGGCGGCAGGCCUAACACAUGCAAGUCGAACGGUAACAGGAAACAGCUUGCUGUUUCGCUGACGAGUGGCGGACGGGUGAGUAAUGUCUGGGAAACUGCCUGAUGGAGGGGGAUAACUACUGGAAACGGUAGCUAAUACCGCAUAACGUCGCAAGACCAAAGAGGGGGACCUUCGGGCCUCUUGCCAUCGGAUGUGCCCAGAUGGGAUUAGCUUGUUGGUGGGGUAACGGCUCACCAAGGCGACGAUCCCUAGCUGGUCUGAGAGGAUGACCAGCCACACUGGAACUGAGACACGGUCCAGACUCCUACGGGAGGCAGCAGUGGGGAAUAUUGCACAAUGGGCGCAAGCCUGAUGCAGCCAUGCCGCGUGUAUGAAGAAGGCCUUCGGGUUGUAAAGUACUUUCAGCGGGGAGGAAGGGAGUAAAGUUAAUACCUUUGCUCAUUGACGUUACCCGCAG
rnacentral:rRNA from 1 species